rnacentral:rRNA from 1 species
UACGUAGGGUGCGAGCGUUGUCCGGAAUUAUUGGGCGUAAAGGGCUCGUAGGCGGUUUGUCGCGUCGGGAGUGAAACACCGGGCUUAACUCGGUGCUUGCUUUCGAUACGGGCAGACUAGAGGCAUGCAGGGGAGAACGGAAUUCCUGGUGUAGCGGUGAAAUGCGCAGAUAUCAGGAGGAACACCGGUGGCGAAGGCGGUUCUCUGGGCAUGUCCUGACGCUGAGGAGCGAAAGUGUGGGGAGCGAACAGG